rnacentral:rRNA from 1 species
GUGCCAGCAGCCGCGGUAAAACGUAGGACACAAGCGUUAUCCGGAGUUACUGGGCGUAAAGGGCGUUUAGGCGGGUGAUUAAGUUCGCUAUGAAAGCACCGGGCUAAACUCGGUGAGGCUGGCGGAUACUGGUCAUCUGGAGUGAGUCAGAGGAAGGUAGAAUUCCGCGUGUAGUGGUGAAAUGCGUAGAGAUGCGGAGGAAUACCAGUGGCGAAGGCGGCCUUCUGGGACUCAACUGACGCUGAAGCGCGAAAGCAUGGGGAGCGAACGGGAUUAGAUACCCCUGUAGUCC